GAUGAACGCUGGCGGCGUGCCUAAUACAUGCAAGUCGAGCGGUAAGGCCCUUCGGGGUACACGAGCGGCGGACGGCAGAGUAACACGUAGGAACGUACCCCAAAGUGAGGGAUAGCCUACCGAAAGGUGGAUUAAUACCGCAUGUGGUCUUCGGAUUAAGGCAGCAAUGCGCUUUGGGAACGGCCUGCGUAAGAUUAGCUAGUUGGUGAGGUAACGGCUCACCAAGGCGACGAUCUUUAGCUGGUCUGAGAGGAUGAUCAGCCUGACUGGGACUGAGACACGGCCCAGACUCCUACGGGAGGCAGCAGUAGGGAAUUUUCCACAAUGGGCGAAAGCCUGAUGGAGCAACGCCGCGUGCAGGAUGAAGGCCUUCGGGUUGUAAACUGCUUUUGCCUGAGAAGAAUAUGACGGUAACAGACGAAUAAGGGUCUGCUAACUACGUGCCAGCCGCCGCGGUAA
rnacentral:rRNA from 1 species